CACGUAGGCACCAAGCGUUGUCCGGAUUUAUUGGGCGUAAAGAGCUCGUAGGCGGCUCAUUGCGUCAACCGUGAAAACCUGCCGCUCAACGGUAGGCUUGCGGUUGAUACGGGUGGGCUGGAGUUCGGUAGGGGAGACUGGAAUUCCUGGUGUAGCGGUGAAAUGCGCAGAUAUCAGGAGGAACACCGGUGGCGAAGGCGGGUCUCUGGGCCGAUACUGACGCUGAGGAGCGAAAGCGUGGGGAGCGAACAGG
rnacentral:rRNA from 1 species